UACGUAGGGUGCAAGCGUUGUCCGGAAUUAUUGGGCGUAAAGGGCUCGUAGGCGGCCAACUAAGUCAGACGUGAAAUCCCUCGGCUUAACCGGGGAACUGCGUCUGAUACUGGAUGGCUUGAGUUUGGGAGAGGGAUGCGGAAUUCCAGGUGUAGCGGUGAAAUGCGCAGAUAUCAGGAGGAACACCAAUGGCGAAGGCAGCACUCUGGGACGUGACUGACGCUGAGACGCGAAAGCGUGGGGAGCAAACAGG
rnacentral:rRNA from 1 species